rnacentral:tRNA from 1 species
GGGCAUAGCUCAGUGGUAGAGCUCAUGCUUAGCAUGCACAAGGUCCUGAGUUCAAUCCCCAGUACCUCCA